GAUGAACGCUGACAGAAUGCUUAACACAUGCAAGUCGAUUCGAUUUACCUUCGGGUAUUGAGGAUGGCGGACGGGUGAGUAACGCGUAAGGAACUUGCCUCUUGGUCUGGGACAACUGUUGGAAACGACAGCUAAUACCGGAUAUUAUGAGAUUCUCGCAUGGGAAACUUAUGAAAGCUAUAUGCGCCAAGAGAGAGCCUUGCGUUCCAUUAGCUAGUUGGUGGGGUAACGGCCCACCAAGGCGACGAUGGAUAGCCGGCCUGAGAGGGUGAACGGCCACAAGGGGACUGAGACACGGCCCUUACUCCUACGGGAGGCAGCAGUGGGGAAUAUUGGACAAUGGGCCACAAGCCUGAUCCAGCAAUUCUGUGUGCACGAUGAAGGUCUUCGGAUUGUAAAGUGCUUUCAGUUGGGAAGAAGAAAGUGACGGUACCAACAGAAGAAGCGACGGCUAAAUACGUGCCAGCAGCCGCGGUAAUACGUAUGUCGCAAGCGUUAUCCGGAUUUAUUGGGCGUAAAGCGCGUCUAGGCGGAAAAAUAAGUCUGAUGUUAAAAUGCGGGGCUCAACUCCGUAUUGCGUUGGAAACUGUUUUUCUAGAGUACUGGAGAGGUGGGCGGAACUACAAGUGUAGAGGUGAAAUUCGUAGAUAUUUGUAGGAAUGCCGAUGGAGAAGUCAGCUCACUGGACAGAUACUGACGCUAAAGCGCGAAAGCGUGGGGNGCAAACAGGANUAGAUACCCUGGUAGUCCACGCCGUAAACGAUGAUCACUAGGUGNUGGGGG
rnacentral:rRNA from 1 species